UACAGCAAAUAUAAUGUCCCUGAGGUCCACUUGACAUUUUUGAUGAACUGUGAGGAGACCAGUAUGGAGAUAAGUUUAUGGAGGGUAUAAGGGAACCAGGCCGUGUAGUGCAAUGAACAAUACAGUAACAGGAUUUGAUUUGUAUUUUAACUGGAUUACCCAGGAUAGUAUCUUGAGAAUAGCCAAAGUGUUUAAGGGCAUACCUAUAAGAAGCCUACUGCAAUCAUCCAGGUGGUUACAGUGACCUUAUAAGUUGCAGCUUGGAAGGGUGGUAGCAGUGAAGGUGGUAAGAAGUGGUCAGAUUCUGGAUAUAUAUUGAAAGUAAGUUCGAGAGAACUUGUUUAUGGAUUUAAUGUGAAAUAAGAGAGAAAAUGAUAUGAAAGAUGACUAUAAGAUUUUUGGUUUCAGGAAAAAGGAAGGAGUUAUUUACUGAGAUGGAGUAAAUGAUAAGACGAACAGAUUUGGUGGUGGAAUUCAGAAGUUUGAUUUUAGAUAAGUAAGGUUUUAGAUGCCCAAUAGACAUUUAAAAAGAGUUGCCAGGAGAAAAUUUGAAUACACACAUUGGAAAUUCAUAUGUAAGAACCAGGAAAGAAUUAUAACAUAUAGAUAUGACUUUAAAGUUUAUCUUUAAUAAAGCCAUGGGACUGGAGGUGAUCAUGUAGAAAGCAACCAUAGAUGGAAAUGAAGUCUGAAGUCUGAGUCUUCGAUUACAGAGGUAAAUGAGGGGGAAAAAAACAAAGGAGACUGAGAAGGAAAAGCACGUGAAAGAGAAAGGAAACAAUGCCCUUGAUUGAAUAAAAAGGGAGGAUAGUUCUAAGUAGAGGCCUUGUAUGUAGGAUUAUGAUUAGUUCAUCCACAGUAAUAAUCUUUCUAGGUAGACUACAUGGGGAUAGAUGCACACAGGUAUGUGGGGAGAUGUGGUGACAGGAGCAUGAGAAAUUUAUUUUCUUAUUGCUUCUAUUUUCUCAGUGAUCAAGGAAGAAAGUUCAUCAGGGGGAAGGGAGGAAUAUAAAGAAGAUUUUGGAGCUGUGAAAAGAAAGCUGUGUGCUAUUGCCUUCCAGGAGAGAAAGAUAGUGAAUGGAAUAGUGAAAGAGACUAGAGAAAGAUGAAAGGACAACACUGAAGUCCUGCUUGAAGUUAGCGGUCAUAAGUUUAAAGUGAGGCCAGUCAGCAUAGAUGUGUUUUACUUAACUGUGUUCAGCAAUGUGAGUCUGGCCUUAGAGUGUUGAAUUUAAUUAGGGUUAAGGUUUUGAAACUGAGUAGUUUCACCCCAAAAUGCAUUUUAAAACUUUUUCCUUGUCUCCUUUCUUCCAAGACUCCAGACAUAAACUUGAAACAACAUAUAAAAACCUUUUUUUCUUAGUCUUAAAAUAUAGCCUUGAAACAAACUUUGAAACUCCACUCCCUCCUAUUACCCACCAUGUACUUCUUUAUUCUAUGCACAUUUGUCUAAUUAGAUGCUUGUAUCUAAUCAUGUUCUUACUUAGAAUUUCCAGGGGUUAAUCUUGAGACAAACCAAGGAUGGAGACUGAGCUUCCAAAUUCCACAGAUUACCUCAAGGCAGUUGGUCAACAACUAAGCCAUUGUUGAGAGGAUGCCAGUCCAUGCUCCAAAUGGACCACGGCUCAAGAUAGCAACUGGAACAAGACACACAGACCUUGUGCUCAGCACUCCUCCUGCAUGCCUCCCAUUGUAUCUUCCGUUUUCAAAGCCCCUCCUCCAAGCCUAAAGUUCGAAGUCAUUUCUGGAGUUGUAAACUGGCUGCUUCCCCACUGCUAGCUUUGGAAAUGAAACCAUUUUCCUUUUGCUGUACUUCAUCCUUGUUAUUGGCUACAAGCAGCAAGCAGCCAAACUUGUGCUCAGUUACAGUUUUGUCAGGUAAAUAAGAUGAAGGGAAAGUGUGCAUACAAGAGAGUGACCAUCAUUGUGGGCCAUAAAAUCUAAGCUGGAUAAUAAAGUACGUAAGGACAUGAAAUAGGUGACAGACAAUGAAAAGGUGAUGAAAUCAGUGAAUGGUUGAUGCUAAUGUUGUUGAAUGAUAUUUGGAAAUAAAAUACAUCUUGCAGAGAAAGAAUUGCAAAUAGUGACAGUGGUCAUUUGAGAUGCAUGAAACUACCAUUAUGGAGGGAUCUAGGGAAUGAACCAUGGGAGAGAAUGGCUGAGGUCAUUAGAGGACAAGGUCAUUAGAAGAGAAGAGGUUUAGAAACGUAGAACCCAAGCAUUUAAAGAAAUCACUAGGAAUUAUGACGUGAGUAACAUUGUAGUGCAUAAUACAGGCAUCCCUCAGUAUACGUGGGGAUUGGUUCCAGGGCAGGCCCCCUUAUCCCACAUAUACUACAAUCUGACCAUAUGUGAAUAUGCAGCCCACAUGUAAAUGUACCUAUACAAUUCAAGACUGUAUUGUUAAAGAGUCAACUGUAGUGAGUCAGGAGCUAAAAUCUUCAUAGAAUAAAGAGAAAUUAUCCCAAAGUCUAGAAUACUUCAAGAAGUAGCAGUAAAGAGUGGUAUAAUCUGAAGAUAGGAGAUUCAGUGUUGGUUGAGACAGGGAGGGAAGAAGGGUAGAUUAUCUAGAAGUGGACAACUAACAUACCUCUAGGCUCAGUGACAUGAGAUCACAUACAUAAAACAUUUAGCAUAGUUUUUGGCACAGAGUAAGAGUUAAUGAAUAUUAGCUAUUGCUAAAUAUAUUAAAUAAUGUAUUUUAGUCUGGUCCAAGUGCAGUAGUGUUUAAAACUUAUUGGUCACAACUGGUUAUGGAUUUCUCUUUUCCUUCACUACUCCCAUUGCUUAAAUUGACUAGCCUAAAAAAAUUAAAUAAACAAAUAUUUUAGAAAUAUAUAAAACUUCUAAAAUUUUUGAGAUUCCCUUCUUUCUAAAAAUGGUUAAAGACAAUAAUUCAUACUAUUUUGUGUAGUACAGCUAUUGUCCUACUGAAGGCAGCAGGAUGAAAUAGAUGCCUCUUAGAAGUAUAAGGAAUUUUGAUUACUGAAAGUUGUUACGUAAGCACGAAUGGCAUACACCAGCACCAAGGCCAGGUCCUGGACAGGGAAUGUUCCUUCAGUGCAAGAUACGACACAUCCCACUACGCAUUACUCGCAGUCCCAGUCAGGUAUAUAUUGGCAGCAGCAUACAAGACACAAAGCUGGACUGUUAGGACAAUUUUAAAUUGAAUAAUGUCAUGUUAGUCGACAGGAGGAAGGAAUAAAGCAAAGCCUCCUUAGCACAGAGAGAUGCCGUGGCUGAGUCUGAAAGGACUAGGAUAUUCCCCCAUUUACUAUGCUAAUGACUCACCAGACAUUAGUCAUGAGAGCGUCUCGUGUGAUAUGAAAGCCACAGAGUUUAAUGGUCCUGAGCUACUUCCUGUCCUUAGCUCUCCAUUCAGAAAAGCUUUGCAAAACCCCUAUAUUUGAAGGUGUUCAAUGUGCAGAUUUUUUUUAACUUUGCAGUUAUCCUUAACAUAACAACAACUACCUGUUGAAAAUGUAAAUCACUUAGGAAAGCAAAUUAUUUUCAAGAACCUUAAAGUUUUUCAGAGUGUUUCAGUUGUUUACUAAUAAUGAAUAUGUCAAAUCUAACAUUUUAUAAUGCAAUAUUUUUGUUAGAGUUAUUCUGGUUCUUCUAUGUAUCUGGAUCAGAAUUUAUGUUAGUAAUGUGUCACUAAGCCUAUGCUUUUCUUUUUUAUCCUCAAUAUUUAUUUAUAUUUAAUAAUCACAUUAUUUUUUAGUUGACAAAUAGUAAUUGUAU
rnacentral:lncRNA from 1 species